rnacentral:lncRNA from 1 species
AUGGUUUCACGGAGGGGAAGGGGCAAGUCUAGGGAGACCACUUGUCCUUCUGGUUUGGGCCUCUGGCUAAGACGGAGGCCAAAAUUGGGGAGAGAAGAUGUGCUGAGUUUAGGACAGGCUGAACCAUGGUGUGACUGGGACGCCCAGGCCGUGGGGUGUGGGGCUGGCUCCCUGAGGACCCCGGGAUGGGGUAAGAGGGAGAAGAGACGGAGAGGGUGCAGGGGGAGGAGAGCCUGGGGGGAAAGGAGUCUCAUUUUCCAGGGAGCAGGCAACAGGGUCAGACGCCAAGCCUCAGACCCCUCCUGGAUACGAACCAUCCCCUGCCUCAUCAGAGCCUGGGAAGAUUUCCUACUCGUGAGGCUAACGAAUCGCUCAGAACACAACCAUCUCAUUAAGCAAUUAGCUCUGGGAGCGCCAAGGCAAGGAAGUGACCUCACUGGCCGCUCGACAAGACACCGCCCUGCCGCUGGGGAGGAAGAUUGCCGGAAAGCAGGAGGAGCACUGCGUGGAGUUAAGUGGUGCAAUCUCUCUGGGCUUCUGAAAAUAGCAGAUGACCAGGACCAGGCCGGGUGAUUUCUAAAUUACUUCCAGCGCAAAAAAAAAAAA